CGUACUCCUUAACAGACUGUGGAGAGAGGUAGAAAAGCACUCUCUUACUCAACUUCCAAAACUAAUGAAGGAAAAUUCAGGCUAAAAAAAUUAAAAACACUUCAGUCAGUUUAUGGUUAUCAGUGUAUCACUUUUUCCCAGGUUACCCCGAAUCCUCUUUCUGGAGAUUGCUGUACAUGUUUUCUUGUUCUCUCUGAUCAUUGUUUGGAUAGAGAAGCUGAAGACUGAAGCAGAAAUUUCCAGUGCCUGGUGAUUUUCUUUUCACUGGAAGUGAAUGGCAACAGGUGGCCACAACUGCUCAUAACACAUUUCUGAAGAGUCCUAGUGUGAGGCUGCACAGAGAACCUUUCACACUCAUUUCACUUGGAGCAAUCCCAUUACAGUAUCUGGCCCCCUUUCUGGAUGUGGCUCUGAAUGACUUACUUUGAGCCAUUCAAAACAUUUGUGGUAGACCUAGGUGUUGAAAGUAGCUCUCACAAGGGCUGAUCCAGAGCUUAUUUAAGUCAACAAAAGUCUUUCCAAUUGAUUUCAAUUAAUUUCUGAACAGGUUCUGAAUCUCAGGGCACUGCCCUUGCUGUGGCAGCAUGCUUUUUAUACUGCUCAUUUUAUACACCUAUCAUAUUUCUUCCAACAAUUCUUUCCAAAUUAAAUUGCCUUAGGGUGCAAGGGAACAUUUCAGAGAGAUGAGGGACUGUAAGCUAUCUUAUUCUCAUUGAAAUCAAUGUGACUUGGAUACCUAUCUGCAAUGUGUGUCAUUUAAAAUUUUCCACUUAAUCAGGUCAGACCUCUCCGCAAUGCUUUUCCCCAUUUUUAUUUCUUUUCUUUUCUGUGGAUCACUUUUGCAGUCUUUUCUGAUGUAUAAUGGGAAGAAGACAGGAGGUCUUAGCACAGAUGGACACUAAAUAUUGCUGAGAGAUUGAUACAUGAGAAGUCUAUCUGGGAAAGUACAGUUACAAAAAAAAAAAAAAAAGAAUUAUUAAAAAUGAAUUAAAUUGGUUAUUAGCUCAGUUAAGAUGCGAUCCUCCAGUUUUAUCCUCUGAUUCCAGUAGCACACCAAAAAAAGCUGGCCUGCUGCCAUGAUAAAAUAGGCCUAUCAUUUUCCAGUGGUUUAAAUAUGGGUCAAAACAUUUAAUCAGACAAUAUUAAUUUAUUUUAGUAUUCCCUGGGGAAACCCACGGUGACUUUAACAGAGAACCCCUUCUAGCUUUUGAAACAAAGAAGAAAUGGAAGGACAUCCACUGUGAUUUAUUUUCUCUGGAUGAUCAGUGGAGAAAUUGGAUAUGCAUGACACAUUCAUUUAGUCCUCACUUUCCUUUGAUGAUUAGGGCUGAAUUUUCAUUCUGGUAUAUGGGGAUUUGUGUGUGUCACUCCAAACAACUUAGUAUCAUACAUCUAAGUCCAAAUGUAACUUUCUAAGAGUGAAGUCCAGAGACAAGAAUCUCCAGUGUAAGUGGACAAAAUAGAAUAUUGCAAUAGCAUGCAAGUAAUACUUAUGCUCUAACAUUGAAGCCUGAGCCUCACAAAGGCUUGACUGAAUUUGUAAUUAAGAUCCUUUCCCUAGCUUUGGUGAAAAAGCACAUUGGAAAUAUGUGCAGGCAUCAAUGUAAUGAAAUCUAUAAAAAUUGAUUAGCCAUUUCAAAACAUCUGUUACUUGGUCCUUUGCACACUAUUGCAAAUAACCUCAAUAAUGAGGUGUGACCAAUUGCUUUAUAGUGGGAACAUUGCAGCCUCAGGCAAGGGAGGCUGAAGAGGUCUAGCUGUAGCUCAAACUGAUUGCAGUGAAAUGCUGGGUUUGUGUAGUUCGGUGCUGGAAUUUCAUUUGUUUAUAGCAAUCAUUUGUUUAAUAAUCUAACCUUUUAAAAAAACAUCAGAAUGAGAUAGAAAUAUGAGCAACAGUUUUUCCAAAAAAAUCCUUUACCAUUUGGGAUUACUUGGCAUUCACCAAAAUAAAGAAAUUCUAUGGAACUAAGCUAAUGGAACGAAGAAAAGAAAGCUAUAUAAUGGAUUAUAAAUGUUUGUAAUUGCUUCUUGCAAAUCCAGAGGCAAUUUGAAAGGCUAUUGCUGUGGCAUAAUAUUUUCCAGUUUCCAUUCAGUCCCAAUGUCAAGUGAUACAAGCAAUAAAACUCUCCCUUACCUUCCCCUGUAAGACUAUUCCAUACAUCACAUUGUGAGCAAGUUUUAUUUUUGGACUGUGAUGAACACCUCACAAGAUCAGCCCAGUAGCAAGGCACCAAGCACGUGGUGGUGAUACAUCACAUGGAUUCAAAAACACUGCCUUCCACCACUGCAGCAGCAGCUGCAGCCAUUGAAAUGAACACAUAAUUAAAAACACAGCACAAUUGCAUUACUGUUUAAAGCCUAAAGAAAUAUAAUUCUCACUAAAUAAUCACACUGCACUCAGAUACUAAACAUCUGGUGGAUCUAUUUUAAGAUUAGACAUGUAGCACCCCUGGACAGGUCUCAGCACUAGAGGAAUCAGAUGCAAGUGCUCACAACCACACGUGCCCUGCAAGAAUGAGAAAGACUGACCUUGAAUGUGCUGAGCUGGACCCAGAAAAAGAGAGGUGGCAACAGCAAGCAACUCAAACUUUGAGGAUGCAGCAGCUGUGCAGCUGCCUCAGCUUCAUUUGCAGAUAACCAUCCUUGAUUCAGCUCAAGAGAGGAAGCUGAUACACUCAGUAUUUGAAACACCUCAAAUCUUCGGUGUAUAUGUAUUUUAUGUGUAAACCCGGAGAAAGGAAAAUAAAAGCAUUAAAAA